rnacentral:lncRNA from 1 species
GUACUGUAGCAAUGAUACUGUAGCAGUACUGGAGCGAUAGUACUGUAGCAGUACUGGGAAGAUAGAAAACCAAAAGAAAAGACACCUAUAGAAAAAGAUGAGAUUUAUGGUGGAUGGUGGCUAUGGAUCGAUAUCCCCACAUUAGGGUUCCCGCUAUGAUACCAUGAAAGAAGGGCUAAAGUGUAUACCCUCUUGAGUUGUAUUAAUGAAUAUAUAUAGUACAAGAGAUUGUCUUACUAUAGUAACAAUGACUACUAUAGUAAGAGUAUAACUAGGAUUACAUACUAUAUAAUCCUACUCUAUAGAAGACAAUAAUACUACUCUAUAUAAGGCAAUAAUACACAAUAUCCUAAUAUAUCGUAACAUCCUAAUAUAGAUAAAAUAUAUCGUAACACGCGCGAGCGACACGAACUACAGCGAAACAGCACACACGGUAUUUAAAACGCGUCUAUC